rnacentral:rRNA from 1 species
UACUCCUACGGGAGGCAGCAGUGAGGAAUAUUGGACAAUGGAUGGAAAUCUGAUCCAGCCAUGCCGCGUGCAGGAAGACGGCCCUAUGGGUUGUAAACUGCUUUUGUAUGGGAGCAAUAAGGUCUAUGCGUAGACUGAUGAGAGUACCAUACGAAUAAGCAUCGGUCAAUCUCG